rnacentral:ncRNA from 1 species
UUCAUUCACUAGGGGUGCUUUUGUAGAGCUGAGAGAAGAAAUCAUUCUUCAACCCUUGAACCUGAUUUGGUUAAUACCAGCGUAGGAAAGUGAACAGGACUACUU